UACGAGGGGGGCAAGCGUUGCUCGGAAUUAUUGGGCGUAAAGGGUGCGUAGGCGGUUUGGUAAGUCUUAUGUGAAAUCUACAGGCUCAACUUGUAGUCUGCAUGAGAAACUGCCGGGCUUGAGUAUGGGAGAGGUGAGUGGAAUUCCUGGUGUAGCGGUGAAAUGCGUAGAUAUCAGGAGGAACACCUGUGGCGAAAGCGGCUCACUGGACCAUAACUGACGCUGAUGCACGAAAGCUAGGGGAGCAAACGGG
rnacentral:rRNA from 1 species